UGAGCGCUGAAGGUUGGUACUUGUACCGACUGGAUGAGCAGCGAACGGGUGAGUAACGCGUGGGGAAUCUGCCUUUGAGCGGGGGACAACAUUUGGAAACGAAUGCUAAUACCGCAUAAAAACUUUAAACACAAGUUUUAAGUUUGAAAGAUGCAAUUGCAUCACUCAAAGAUGAUCCCGCGUUGUAUUAGCUAGUUGGUGAGGUAAAGGCUCACCAAGGCGAUGAUACAUAGCCGACCUGAGAGGGUGAUCGGCCACAUUGGGACUGAGACACGGCCCAAACUCCUACGGGAGGCAGCAGUAGGGAAUCUUCGGCAAUGGACGAAAGUCUGACCGAGCAACGCCGCGUGAGUGAAGAAGGUUUUCGGAUCGUAAAACUCUGUUGGUAGAGAAGAACGUUGGUGAGAGUGGAAAGCUCAUCAAGUGACGGUAACUACCCAGAAAGGGACGGCUAACUACGUGCCAGCAGCCGCGGUAAUACGUAGGUCCCGAGCGUUGUCCGGAUUUAUUGGGCGUAAAGCGAGCGCAGGUGGUUUAUUAAGUCUGGUGUAAAAGGCAGUGGCUCAACCAUUGUAUGCAUUGGAAACUGGUAGACUUGAGUGCAGGAGAGGAGAGUGGAAUUCCAUGUGUAGCGGUGAAAUGCGUAGAUAUAUGGAGGAACACCGGUGGCGAAAGCGGCUCUCUGGCCUGUAACUGACACUGAGGCUCGAAAGCGUGGGGAGCAAACAGGAUAGAUACCCUGGUAGU
rnacentral:rRNA from 1 species